UCCUGGUGAGCUUAGUUAAUAGAGCGCUCUACUGGAAAUGGAGAGGUCCCUGGUUCGACUCCAGUGUCAGGCG
rnacentral:tRNA from 1 species